rnacentral:rRNA from 1 species
GAUGAACGCUGGCGGCGUGCCUAACACAUGCAAGUCGAGCGAUUCUCUUCGGAGAAGAGCGGCGGACGGGUGAGUAACGCGUGGGUAACCUGCCCUGUACACACGGAUAACAUACCGAAAGGUAUGCUAAUACGAGAUAAUAUGCUUUUAUCGCAUGGUAGAAGUAUCAAAGCUUUUGCGGUACAGGAUGGACCCGCGUCUGAUUAGCUAGUUGGUAAGGUAACGGCUUACCAAGGCGACGAUCAGUAGCCGACCUGAGAGGGUGAUCGGCCACAUUGGAACUGAGACACGGUCCAAACUCCUACGGGAGGCAGCAGUGGGGAAUAUUGCACAAUGGGCGAAAGCUUGAUGCAGCAACGCCGCGUGAACGAUGAAGGCCUUCGGGUCGUAAAGCUCUGUCCUCAAGGAAGAUAAUGACGGUACUUGAGGAGGAAGCCCCGGCUAACUACGUGCCAGCCGCCGCCGUAA